CUAAUCGGAAAAGACUACCCGCUGAGUUUAAGCAUAUCA
rnacentral:rRNA from 11 species